ensembl:snRNA U2 U2 spliceosomal RNA
ACAGCUUCUGGGCCUUUUGGCUAAGAUCAAGUGUAGUAUCUGUUAUCAGUUUAACAUCUGAUACCGAAGUGGUGUCAUCAUCUCACACCGAGGAAAUCAAA